UUUAUGGAGAGUUUGAUCCUGGCUCAGGAUGAACGCUGGCGGCGUGCCUAAUACAUGCAAGUCGAGCGAACGGACGAGAAGCUUGCUUCUCUGAUGUUAGCGGCGGACGGGUGAGUAACACGUGGAUAACCUACCUAUAAGACUGGGAUAACUUCGGGAAACCGGAGCUAAUACCGGAUAAUAUUUUGAACCGCAUGGUUCAAAAGUGAAAGACGGUCUUGCUGUCACUUAUAGAUGGAUCCGCGCUGCAUUAGCUAGUUGGUAAGGUAACGGCUUACCAAGGCAACGAUGCAUAGCCGACCUGAGAGGGUGAUCGGCCACACUGGAACUGAGACACGGUCCAGACUCCUACGGGAGGCAGCAGUAGGGAAUCUUCCGCAA
rnacentral:rRNA from 2 species